rnacentral:rRNA from 1 species
AACUUUCAGCAAUGGAUCUCUUGGCUCUCGCAUCGAUGAAGAACGCAGCAAAGCGCGAAAUGUAAUGUGAAUUGCAGAAUUCAGUGAAUCAUCGAAUCUUUGAACGCACCUUGCGCUUUCGGGUUAUUCCUGGAAGCAUGUUCGUUUGAGUGUCG